GAUUUCUAAAACCGCUUGUAUCUGGUGUGAUUAUAAAGCAAUGAGACUGAUUGUCAUGUGUAGCUUGUGGGAUCCGUCUCAGUUACUUUAUAGCCAUACCUGGUAUCUUAUACCACAGAGCAUUG
rnacentral:pre_miRNA from 15 species